rnacentral:lncRNA from 1 species
CCCUGCUGCGCCCCUCCCUCCUCUGAGAGGAUCAGGACUGUGAAUGGGUGUAGUGCCUCUGAUAAUUCCUCCACGGGGCAGGAGGAGCAGCAGGUGCCCCGGUCAGUGUCCCGUCACUUCAGGCAACAUAAGAAAGAUUCACCUUCGUCUCCGGCUCUCCUGCACACACAGCUCUCUCUCUCCGUCUCUCUCUCUCUACACUCACCUGUGAGGAUGUCUACCUGUUCUUAGCUCACCUGAAUGGAGCAGCCUCUACCUGAAGUGCGGGAAGGUCCUCACGUUCUGCUGUCUGAUGUUCAGGAUUAAUCAGAAGCUCUGCAGUCAUGGUCAUUCUGCAGCAGGGGGACUAUGUGUGGUUGGACCUGAAGACUGGCCGAGAGUUCGACGUGCCUGUAGGAGCCGUGGUGAAGCUGUGUGACUCGGGUCAGAUCCAGGUUCUGGAUGAUGAAGGAAACGAACACUGGAUCUCCCCCCAGAAUGCCACCAAUAUUAAGCCCAUGCACCCCACCUCCAUCCACGGGGUGGAGGACAUGAUUCGGCUGGGGGAUCUGAACGAGGCGGGGAUUCUCCGUAACCUGCUGAUCCGCUAUAGAGAACACCUCAUAUAUACGAACUGCGGAGGCCGGACGUACACAGGGUCAAUCCUGGUGGCGGUAAACCCGUACCAGCUGCUGCCCAUCUACACAGCAGACCAGAUCCGCCUGUACACCAACAAGAAGAUCGGAGAGAUGCCCCCUCACAUCUUCGCCAUCGCCGACAACUGCUACUUCAACAUGCAGAGGAACAACAAGGACCAGUGCUGCAUCAUCAGUGGUGAGUCCGGAGCGGGGAAGACUGAGAGCACCAAGCUGAUCCUGCAGUUUCUGGCGGCCAUCAGCGGUCAGCACUCCUGGAUUGAGCAGCAAGUGCUGGAGGCCAAUCCCAUACUGGAGGCCUUCGGGAAUGCCAAGACCAUCCGGAAUGACAACUCCAGCCGAUUUGGGAAAUACAUAGACAUCCACUUCAACAAGAGAGGGGCAAUAGAGGGAGCAAAAAUCGAGCAGUACCUGCUGGAGAAGUCCAGAGUGUGUCGACAGGCCAGAGAUGAGAGGAAUUAUCAUAUCUUCUACUGCAUGCUGAAGGGGAUGACUUCAGAUCAGAAGAAGAAACUUGGCCUGGGAAAAGCCACAGACUACACCUACCUCACUAUUGGAAACUGCACGGUGUGUGAUGGUCGGGAUGAUCAGAAGGAAUACUCCAACAUUCGCUCAGCCAUGAAGGUGCUCAUGUUCACGGAUACGGAGAACUGGGAGAUCUCCAAACUGCUGGCCUCCAUCCUGCACAUGGGAAAUCUCCACUAUGAAGCUCGGACGUAUGAUAACCUGGAUGCCUGUGAGGUGGUGCGCUGUGCUGAUCUGACCACCGCUUCAAAACUGCUGGAGGUUGAUUCUAAAGACUUGAUGAACUGCCUGACCAGCCGCACUCUGAUCACUCGAGGGGAGACGGUGUCCACUCCGCUCAGUAUGGAGCAGGCCCUGGAUGUGCGAGAUGCCUUCGUAAAGGGAAUAUAUGGGCGCUUGUUUGUCUGGAUUGUUGAGAAGAUUAAUGCAGCAAUCUUCAAGCCUACAUCCCAUGAUCUUAAAGCUGUACGCAGAUCCAUCGGCCUCCUGGACAUCUUCGGCUUUGAGAACUUUACUGUCAACAGUUUUGAGCAGCUGUGUAUCAACUUUGCCAACGAGAACCUGCAGCAGUUCUUCGUCCGCCACGUCUUUAAGCUGGAGCAGGAGGAGUAUAACCUGGAGAACAUCAACUGGCAGCACAUCGAGUUCACCGACAACCAGGACGCCCUGGACAUGAUCGCCAUCAAACCCAUGAACAUCAUCUCCCUCAUCGACGAGGAGAGCAAGUUCCCCAAGGGAACAGACACCACCAUGCUGAACAAGCUCAACUCCCAACACAAGCUCAACACCAACUACAUCCCUCCCAAAAACAACUACGAGACUCAGUUUGGGAUCCAGCACUUUGCAGGAAUCGUUUAUUACGAGACGAGAGGUUUUCUGGAGAAGAACAGAGACACUCUUCACGGUGAUAUCAUCCAGCUGGUUCACUCUUCAAAGAACAAGUUCAUCAAGCAGAUCUUCCAGGCGGAUGUGGCCAUGGUAAUGCUUCCUGAUCUGAGAAUUUAUAUAUUUUAUUUGUUUAAAGUGAGCCGAAAGAACCUGUUGUUUGACAGGGAGCUGUGUGUCCGGCAGCUCCGCUACUCUGGAAUGAUGGAGACGAUCCGGAUCCGCCGGGCUGGAUACCCCAUUCGCUACACCUUUGUGGAGUUUGUGGAUCGUUAUCGUGUCCUUAUGCCUGGAGUAAAGCCUGCAUACAAACAGGAGGAUCUGAGAGGAACCUGUCAGCGGAUUGCAGAGGCCGUCCUUGGCCGAGACGAUGACUGGCAGAUGGGAAAGACCAAAAUAUUUCUGAAGGAUCAUCACGACAUGCUGCUGGAGAUCGAGAGAGACAAGGCCAUCACUGACAAGGUCAUCCUCAUCCAGAAGGUGGUCAGAGGAUUUAAAGACAGAUCUAACUUCCUUAAGAUGAAGAGAGCAGCGCUUAUCAUCCAGAAGACUUGGAGAGGAUACCACUGCCGGAAAAACUAUGAUGCGGUGAGUUACUGGAUUUAUGUUUUAAUAAGCACACAGGCACAUUUUUAUAUUAUAUAUAUUAUGUGUGUAAAUGAUUUUUUAACUUUCUGCUCUUCCUCUCAGUACCGGAGGCGUCUGGAGGCGGAGAAGAUGCGUCUGGCUGAGGAGGAGAAGCUGAGGAACCAGAUGAGCGCCAAGCGAGCCAAAGCCGAGGCUGAGCGUAAGCAUCAGGAGCGCCUGGCCCAGCUGGCUAAAGAGGACGCAGAGCGGGAGAAGAAGGAGAAGGAGGAGGCUCGCAAGAAGAAGGAGAUGCUGGAUCAGAUGGAGAAAGCUCGUCAGGAGCCCGUUAACGACUCGGAUAUGGUGGAUAAAAUGUUUGGAUUCCUGGGGACCACCAACUCCUUUCCGGGUCAGGAGGGCCAGGCGCCGGCCGGGUUCGAGGACCUGGAGCGGACUAAGAGGGAGCUGGAGGAAGAAGAUCUGGAUGAAGCUCUUCCUCUGCCUGAGGAAGAUGAGGAAGACCUUUCUGAAUAUAAAUUUGCCAAGUUUGCAGCCACGUACUUCCAGGGCACAAGCACUCACACGUACAUGCGCCGUCCACUCAAACAGCCGCUGCUGUUCCACGAGGACGAGGGGGAUCAGCUGGCAGCGCUGGCGGUGUGGAUCACAGUCCUUCGUUUUAUGGGAGACCUUCCAGAACCCAAAUACCACACAGCCAUCAGCGACGGCAGCGAGAAAAUCCCUGUGAUGACGAAGAUUUACGAGACGCUGGGCAAGAAAACCUACAAGCGAGAGCUGCAGGCGCUGCAGGGGGAGGGAGAGAACGCUCACAUUGACAGUCAUAAGAAGAACAGUGUGCGUCACAAGCUAGUGUCCCUCACCCUUAAGAAGAAGUCAAAGAUUACUGAGGAGGUGAGUGACAGUGUUAUAAUGCAUGAUAACUUGUCUGGUUUGCCUUCCUGGAACAGGAAAGAUGAGAUCUACUGUCAGAUCUGUAAGCAGCUGACUCAGAACCCGUCUAAAAGCAGCCACGCCCGAGGCUGGAUCCUCAUGUCCCUGUGUGUGGGCUGCUUCGCCCCGUCUGAGAAGUUUGUGAAGUAUCUGAGGAACUUCAUCAGUGAAGGUCCUCCAGGCUACGCUCCUUACUGUGAGGAAAGGCUCAGGAGGACGUUUGUGAACGGCACCAGAACCCAGCCCCCCUCCUGGCUCGAGCUGCAGGUACAACCUGAAGAAGUUGAUUGUUUGAAUAACAUAGCUUUGCUUGCAGUUCAGCUUGGUGUGAUGGUUUGUGUUCAGGUGUCUUCUCUGGGCAGUGGAAGUGAUCAUGUGAUGGACGCCGUGUCUCAGUGUGAGCAGUAUGCUAAAGAGCAGGGGGCUCAGGAGCGUAACGCCCCCUGGAGGCUGUUCUUCAGGAAGGAGAUCUUCACGCCCUGGCACGACCCCACUGAGGACGGGGUGGCCACCAACCUCAUCUACCAGCAGAUCGUCCGCGGGGUGAAGUUCGGGGAGUACCGCUGUGACCGGGAUGAUCUAUCAGAGCUGGCGUCUCAGCAGUAUUAUGUGGACUAUGGAUCGGAGAUCCUGGUGGAACGUCUCCUCAGCCUCAUUCCUUCAUACAUCCCUGACCGAGAAAUCAGCUCCGCCAAGACGGUGGAGAAAUGGGCCCACUUCAUCAUGGCUGCCCAUAAAAAGGGUGUUUACACACAGAAGCGAGUGGACCCUCAGAAGGUGAAAGAAGAAGUGGUGGAAUUCGCUCGAUACAAGUGGCCUUUGUUGUUCUCUAGGUUCUAUGAAGCCUUUAAAUUUUCAGGACCCAGCUUGCCUAAGAAUGAUGUGAUUGUAGCUGUGAACUGGACUGGAGUCUAUUUUGUUGAUGAACAAGAGCAGGUUCUUCUGGAACUCUCUUUCCCAGAGAUCACUGCGGUUUCCAGCAGCAGAGGAGGCAAGCUCCAGGGGCAGAGCUUCACCCUGGCCACUGUUAAAGCAGAUGAGUACACCUUCACCUCCAACAACGCAGAGGACAUCCGAGACCUGGUCGUCACGUUCCUGGAGGGCCUAAGGAAGAGAUCCAAGUUUGUGGUGGCGCUGCAGGACAACCCCAGUCCAGUUGGUGAUGACUCUACGUUCUUGAGCUUCAUUAAGGGAGAUCUCAUCCUGCUGGAUCAGGACACAGGUGAGCAGGUCCUGAACUCAGGCUGGGCUCAUGGGAUCAAUGAGAGGACCAAACAGAGAGGAGACUUUCCAGCUGACUGUGUCUACGUCCUGCCUACCGUCACCAGACCUCAGCCUGAUGUUGUGGCUCUGGUUACUAUGACGCCAGACCAGCGUCAGGAGUCCAUUCGCGUGGCGCAUGUGCCCCUGCCCGAGAGCGUGGAGCGGGUGAAGCCGUACACACUGGAGGAGUUCUCCUACGACUACUUCAGACCGCCUCCUAAACACACCCUGAGCCGCGUAAUGAUCACGAAGAACCGGGGGAAGGAUAAGCUGUGGUGCUGCACGCGGGAGCCCAUUAAACAAGCUCUGCUGAAGAAGGUUCUGGCCCAUGAGGAGCUGUCCCAGGAAGCCUGCAUGGCAUUCAUUGAUAUCCUUUUGCAUUACUAUAUGGGCGACUAUCCAUCCAAACGAACGCGUUCUGUAAAUGAACUGACGGAUCAGAUCUUUGAGGGAGCUCUGAAGGCCGAGCCGCUGAAAGACGAGAUUUACUCCCAGAUUCUCAAACAGCUCACAGAGAAUCACGUCAAGUACAGUGAAGAGAAGGGCUGGGAGCUGCUCUGGUUGUGUACUGGACUCUUUCCACCCAGUAAUGUCCUCCUACCCCACGUCCAGAGAUUCCUGCAGUCCAAGAAACACCAUCCACUCGCACUGGACUGCCUUCAGAGACUACAGAAAGCCCUGCGGAACGGCUCCAGGAAGUAUCCCCCCCACCUGGUGGAAGUGGAAGCGAUCCAACACAAGACGACUCAAAUCUUUCACAAAGUGUACUUCCCCGACGACACAGACGAGGCUUUCGAGGUGGAGUCCAGUACCAAGGCUAAGGACUUUUGUCUGAACAUCUCCGGCCGCCUGCUGCUGAAAUCUCCUGAUGGUUUCAGCCUGUUUGUAAAGAUUUCCGAUAAGGUGAUCAGCGUUCCAGAAGGUGAUUUCUUCUUCGACUUUGUCAGACAUCUCACCGACUGGAUCAAGAAAGCCAGACCUGCUAAAGAUGGAAUUGUGCCUUCAUUGACCUAUCAGGUGUUCUUUAUGAAGAAGUUGUGGACGAACACGGUCCCAGGAAAAGAUUCUUUUGCUGACUCAAUCUUCCAUUAUUACCAGGAGCUUCCUAAGUAUCUUCGGGGCUACCACAAGUGCUCCAGAGACGAGGUCUUCCAGCUGGCAGCUCUGAUUUACAGAGUCAAAUUUGAAGAUGACAAAUCCUACUUUCCCAGCAUCCCGAAAAUGCUGAAAGAGCUGAUUCCUCAGGAUCUGAUCCGCCAGCUCUCGCCUGACGACUGGAAACGGUCGGUUGUGGCGUACUUCAACAAACAUGCCGGGAAGUCGAGGGAGGAGGCCAAGCUGCUGUUUCUGAAGAUCAUCUUUAAGUGGCCAACGUUUGGCUCUGCCUUCUUUGAAGUGAAGGUAACUUUCACUUACUACUUUAUUUCUUUAAAUGACAUUUUAACGACUCAUCCCUUCACAAAAAUCUCCAACUGGAGCAGUGGAAACACCUACUUCCACAUCACCAUCGGAAACCUGGUGCGAGGGAGCAAGCUACUGUGUGAGACCUCACUGGUAAGAGAAAUAUAG